CAACGUUCAGCUGAGCGGGAAAAGCGUUCAGAGCGGCUUCUGGAAACUUCGGAGGCUUCAAAGCGCGUUUGUCACCUGCGCGUCCUUUGUACACCAGCAGCAUCUUUCAGAUGCAGCUAUGAAGAAUCCACAGUAACAGUCACGCAGCAGGUGACAAAGAAAUCGACCAGAGACCUCCACGUCUGCUAAGAGCCGAGUACAUUUAACAUUAUUGGGUAGGGGUCAGAUGUGCAUAAGAUAAGACAAGAUAAGAAAAGAUAAUCCUUUAUUAAUCCCACAAUGGGGAAAUUUGCGGUGUUACAGCAGCACA